rnacentral:lncRNA from 1 species
GUGGCUGAGAGGAAGAGGACCAGUUGGAGUCCGCAUCUGUGUGCACUGGCUGCCGCAGGGCCCAGCAAGCAGGUGGAGCUCAGCCUCCCACGGAGCAUUGGGCGGUGGACCGCAGUGACGCGGCCUGAGACAUGGCGGCCACGCGCCUCUGAGGCCGCAGAACCGGAGUCUCUUGCUGCGCGAGUUGCCCCUUGGCCAUGCAGCUUGGCUGCUGACUGCCCCGGCGCGUGGCCCGGAGGAUCCCGGCUGCGGUCAUCACCUUGCAGUCUCCAUGCUGCAGGGUAUAUUCCUCCCAUAUUCCAUGUAUUCCUCCUCAGUGCUUCCGGCCGUGUAGCCGCAGCUGCCGGCCGGGCCUCAGGGCGCUCUACCUAUUAUUCAUCAGGCACUUUUCUUUUCCAUUUUUAUUUUCAUUCCUAUUUGCUUCUCCUUUUCCCUUCUGCUUUGCGUCUAUCUCCGCCACCCCGCUAUGGCCGCAGAGGAGGCGCUGAAGACGGUAGACCAAUAUAAGACUGAAAUAGAGAGACUGACCAAGGAGCUCACAGAAACGACCCAUGAGAAGAUCCAGGCUGCAGAGUAUGGGCUGGUGGUGCUGGAGGAGAAACUGACUCUCAAGCAACAGUAUGACGAGCUGGAGGCCGAGUAUGACGGCCUCAAACAAGAGCUGGAGCAGCUCAGAGAGGUGAGCAACCCGUCUCCUAUUUCCCUCUCCAGGUUUGGCAUUUCUCAGUGCCAGUCAUCACUGUAAAGAAGUCAGAAGGGAUAUGGCCAGAAGGACUUCAUCUUAGAGCCCUUUGUUGAUAAGAGAAUAUUGAAAGAGUCCAUUGUUUUCACCAAUAGAAAAAUUACCCAAGAAAUGAAUGCAUAAGCUGGAAUGGGAAGCUCUUUAUUAUGUGGGGGAGGGAGAGUCACAAGAAGUCUUCAGGCAUCCGUGCUGGCAGGUAACAUUGAAUUGGGUUGAAAUGCAUAAAUCAAACUUCUCAAACUGCUGUUAUUUCAAACCCAGAUAUCAAUGACCAUAAUCCAUCCAAUUGAUGAGGUUUGUGCCUGAGGACCUACAAUUUCAGGAUGGUAGAAUUUGGUACUUCAGUCGUCUGCUGAGUAAUUGCUCCUUGGUGAAAUAGGAACUAGUUAUUAGGACUCACCAGUCCCGUUUGACGUUGGCUUUAGUCCUUGUCAUGGGGCUGUAGGAGCAAAACAACUUUGCUGGGUGGUUUUGCUGCCCUUAAUUUCACCUCUGUGCAAGGCUGGGCUAUGCUUAUGUCUUAUAGAAGGCACCCUGAGACUGAGGAAAAUCAAAAUCAUCUCCAUAUGGUGAGACAUGAGAAAGAAAUGUAAAAUAUAUGGAUAUCUAUGCCUUGCCUAUCAAAUAUGGCCCUUCAGGUUGAAAUUACUGUAUUUAUAAAAUCAGAAUAUCACCAAUGUUCUGUGAAUAACAUUUCCCCCCCUAUUUUUAUAUUUCCUUCUUCUAAGGGUAAUGUACUGAAAUGUCCAACCAAAUAUUCAUAAGGAUUAUACAUACUAUUUAAGACACUGGAAAUAGCAAGCAGUCGUGUAUAAAUGUUAGUAUACAUAAACACAGAUUUUCUGUGUGACAAGUCUUUAUUUUUAGGUGCAUACUAACAUUUUAAAUGUUAGGCAUAUCAUACAUAAAUAGAAAUACUUUUCUUAUAAUCUAAGCUUAUUUUAGGGAAAGGGGAGGCCCAGUUUUGUAUUGUCACAGUUAAAAAAACAUGAGUAUGACAUUCUAAUCAACUCACCUAACUUAUAAAUAAUACAUAUUUAAACCUUUAAUUAUGCUAUUUUAUUUAGAUGCUUAAAUACCAAAAUAUGUAAAUAGAUAUAGUUGAAAACAAUAGAUAGAGAUAUAAUUUUUAUAUACCGGGCUAUAAAUUCUAGUUCAUGCUUUUCUUGCUAUAUUCAUAUCUGGAUUUAAUGGUAUCUGUACUUAUAUUUUCUAAAUAUGUCUUAGAUUAUGUCUUAGACUGACAUGUUUUAGAUGCUAAAUCUUAGGAAGUAAGGAAAUAGAUGAUUAUUGUAAUUCUCAGAGAUGUUUCCAUGAUGUCUUUAUUUAUUGACUGUGCUUUGCCAAGGUGGAGAAAUGCAAACCAAUGUUAUGUCAUCACUUUCUUGAUAAAAGAGGUGGACUUAUUUGAUGAUAUAAAAUAUGAUUGUUAAUAGACCUUUCUUCUUGAGCUAAACAACACUUUCAGGGAUAUUUAUGUGUUGUUGUACUUAACACACUAAACCUUAAUACAGUUGCCUUUUGUCUUUAGUAAACAAUACUUAAAAUAAUGAGUUUGCCUUUUAUUUAUUUAAAGUUGAUAGAUAAAAUUGUAUGUAUUUAUUAUGUGCAGAAUUAUGUUUUGCAGUGUACAUAUGUUAUGCCUUUUUGGGCAUUAUAUUGCUUCAUAUAAUUAUCUUUUUUGUGAUAACUCAACAUUCAUUCUGUAUUUUUAAAGAGUAAAUAUAUUGGCAUUAUAAUCAUC